CUGAUUGUGGAUUUGACUGUCUCGCAUCUAUAAAGCAAUUGAUACUAAACUUAGUUUAGAGUGAUUUUUGAUGGUUAGACAUUUAAUAAGACAAAAGAUGACUUGUUCCUGCAUUAAUUUUUCUUGGGGGAGUGUUGUGGAAGGAACCCUCUAAAGGAAUAAGUUCAUUCAUUACUCAGAAGCUUUAUAGGUUUUUAUUAUGUUUUAUUUACAUCUUGUGGUUAACUGUACUUCUCCUAUCUUUAGGAGUUCACUAAUAAUCUGAUUGAGGAGGAUGAAUUUGAUGCAGAUCAAAAGGAUGCAUUUAAGAAUUUUGUCAAAGACAAUGUCCAAGAGGCAAAAAAAGCCAAUAGACAGGCUAGAGAAGCCCGAAAAAAGGCCUUGCAGAAAUGAGUUAGUAGACUAAAGCAGCAUUUGAAAACAUGAAGUUUAACAAAUUCUACUCAGUGCAGAUCGAUGAUACUCCUGACAUAUCAAAUGUUAAGGCACCGUUUAUAAACAGGUAUUAUGGGAAAGCUCAUGAAGUUCUGUGAUUGGGCUCAUCAACCACUAGUAUUUCUACUACAAAAGAUGCCAAUUGGUUUGCAUUGGGGACUAUAGCUAGCUACUGAUUCCAGGAUAUGUUUCAUGAUGAAAGUUCAGAAUGGAACCCUAAAUGUGUGCUGAAUCUGGUGGUUCUUUCUCGGUUUCUCAAGUUUGUCUUAUCUUUCCAAUUUAUGUGCUUUGUUAGAAGUUCUAAUUUUGUCCCAUCAACAUUAUUUCUUGUAUUCCCAAAAGGUUCAAUUCUGCCAAUGCCAUGAAAUACAAAUAGUUAUUGAUCA